GGGCCUUUAGCUCAGUUGGUUAGAGCGCACCCCUGAUAAGGGUGAGGUCGAUAGUUCAAGUCUAUUAAGGCCCACCA
rnacentral:tRNA from 1 species